UUCCAGACUCCUACGGGAGGCAGCAGUGGGGAAUAUUGCACAAUGGGGGAAACCCUGAUGCAGCAACGCCGCGUGAGUGAAGAAGUCUUUCGGUAUGUAAAGCUCUAUCAGCAGGGAAGAAAAUGACGGUACCUGAGUAAGAAGCCCCGGCUAACUACGUGCCAGCAGCCGCGGUAAUACGUAGGGGGCAAGCGUUAUCCGGAUUUACUGGGUGUAAAGGGAGCGUAGACGGCGAUACAAGUCUGAAGUGAAAGCCCGGGGCUCAACCCCGGGACUGCUUUGGAAACUGUGUUGCUGGAGUGCUGGAGAGGCAAGCGGAAUUCCUAGUGUAGCGGUGAAAUGCGUAGAUAUUAGGAAGAACACCAGUGGCGAAGGCGGCUUGCUGGACAGUAACUGACGUUGAGGCUCGAAAGCGUGGGGAGCAAACAGGAUUAGAUACCCCGGUAAA
rnacentral:rRNA from 1 species